UCUGAUUUUGAUUGCAAGUCAUGAAGCCCUAGGCGGAAAUUCAACCUGGAAGACUCUUCCGGCAUCACCUAUUACCACGCCUUCACCCCAGCCAAUCAGGACGCACCACCUCUCUACCUCGAUCCAAUCACCUGGCAAGAGCUCCUUCAAAAGACGAAGCAACCACAGAUCCACCCGCUUCAGUUGUGCUUCAACCCACCUCCUCCCUGUUUCCACCACCAGCCUUCCAGACGCCUCCAGGUCCCCUGAAGACUCCUCUCUCCAGCUCCGCUCCACCACCAGUGACCGGGCCCGGGGGAAGACCUACCUGAGCUUCGUUCGAGCCGAUCAUUCAAGCUCGCUGCGAUUCUCAGCACACACGUCUUCCGCCGGUGUCCGAGCGCCAAAUUCUCGGUCCAAUAAAACUGUCUAACUGCU